rnacentral:rRNA from 1 species
AUGUCACAAUCCUUUGUCACACCCGAUGCUAUGCUUGAUGAUGACACUUGUUUGCUGAAUCACCUCUUGAAUGCUUGGUUUUGCACUAACGCUAGCCACAUUUGUCUUUCCAAGUAUUUGUUGUUCUUGCUUCUUUUGAAGGAAUCACUAGACGGUGCGACAUUGGAGAGUGCCCAUUUCGAGUUUCAAGAUGAUGAGUGCUUGGUGACCGACCACUUCGACACGACACCACCAUCUCUUUCCCAUGGUGAUUUGGUUUUCGAUCCGAGGUCGGAUCUUUUCCAAGGGGGAGGGGAUGAUGCGAAGCAUCCUACGGUCAUCACCAUGUCAAGAGUCUGUUUGGCAAGUGACACGUGCGACCUCUACUUCUCAUACAUAAAGGUGAAUCUUCUCCUUUACACGUGCUCACUUGACCCCUUCGAGGAUGGUAUACUACUUGACACUUCUCCCGUGUGCAUGCAUAGGUAUUGUCGGAGCUUCACGGAUGUCGAGGAGGAGUGCAAGCGCCAAGGAACAACUAAACCAUCCGCGAGGGAGGCAUGGAAGCGAAGACGGAAGAAGGAGAUGCGGAGUCUAUAG